GACGACGCUGGCGGCGUGCUUAACACAUGCAAGUCGAGCGGGGAGAUUACCUUCGGGUGAUCUUCUAGGCGGCGGACGGGUGAGUAACGCGUGAGCUAACCUUUCCUCUACGUGGGGAAUAACGACCGGGAAACUGGUACUAAUACCGCAUGAGACCACAGAGUCGCAUGGCUUAGGGGUCAAAGAUUUAUUGGUAGAGGGUGGGCUCGCGUCUGAUUAGCUAGUUGGUGAGGUAACGGCUCACCAAGGCGACGAUCAGUAGCCGACUUGAGAGAGUGAUCGGCCACAUUGGGACUGAGACACGGCCUAAACUCCUACGGGAGGCAGCAGUGGGGAAUAUUGCACAAUGGGGGAAACCCUGAUGCAGCGACGCCGCGUGAGCGAUGAAGUAUUUCGGUAUGUAAAGCUCUAUCAGCAAGGAAGAUAAUGACGGUACUUGACUAAGAAGCCCCGGCUAACUACGUG
rnacentral:rRNA from 1 species